rnacentral:ncRNA from 1 species
AAGGCUGGUGCAGUUUAAAAGCUUGUAGUGUUGAACCUUGGUUGUGCAGUUGCAUACUGUUGUUUGUUUGUGGUUUUGGUUACAAUCAGAAAUUGUAUUGAGCUCGGCGUAGUUGUGGUUGUGCAGCCUUUCAGCCCUGUAUCUGUAUGUGUGUCGGUGGCACAGCGGUUAUGACUCUCGCCGAUUAUGCACAUGGUCCGGAGUCCGACCCCCUGCCGACGCACACCUGAUAUCUAUGGUCGACCUGCAAAAUUCGGGCUACCGAUAUCCAUGCUGAAAAUUCCAUACUUGUACCAAAAAUACAGUGUGGAAUCAAUCUGUAAUCAAAACCUGAGCGCUAACGGAGAUGGGUGAGCUUUUCUUGCCUGCUAUUUGUUGGCAUCCUUCCGGAUGCCCUUAACAGGGUGUCAUGUUCGGGAUGAUAUCUUUAUUUUGAAUAAUUUUGAGUUUUUAGGGCAGGCUGUCGCGCCAAUAAAUUCUUUCAUGGAAUAAAGAAAUAGAACUUCGGUCUGUUUUUUGUUGGGAUUCUUGAUCCAAAGUAAUGGUGAAGAGGAAUACAGGGGAGGCACUUGUAUGAUGGUGUUAGGGGUGAAAUUCUGGGAUCAUCGCUGGAGAAACUACAGCGAAAGCGCUUGUCAAGAAUAUUUUCAUUGAUCAGAAGCGAAAGUCAGAGUAUCGAAGAUAAUCAGUGACCAUAAACUAUGCCAGUUGACGACCGGCGAUGAUUCUGUAGUUGACACUGCUGGCAGUCUCCGGGAAAUCUUUAAGUCCCUGGGCUUCG